AUUGAACGCUGGCGGCAGGCCUAACACAUGCAAGUCGAGCGAGCGGCGGACGGGUGAGUAAUGUAUGGGGACUGCCCGAUCGAGGGGGAUAACUACUGGAAACGGUGGCUAAUACCGCAUACUAUCGGAUAACCCAUAUGGGAUUAGCUAGUAGGUGGGGUAAAGGCUCACCUAGGCGACGAUCUCUAGCUGGUCUGAGAGGCUGAUGAGCAAAACGGGGACUGAGACACGGCCCAGACUCCUACGGAGGAAGCAGUGGGGAAUAUUGGACAAUGGGCGAAAGCCGGAUGCAGCCAGGCCGCGUGUAUGAAGAAGGCCUUAGGGUUGUAAAGUACUUUCAGCGGGGAGGCGUUACCCGCAGAAGAAGCACCGGCUAACUCCGUGCCAGCAGCCGCGGUAAUUC
rnacentral:rRNA from 1 species